rnacentral:misc_RNA from 1 species
CAGGGUCUGACGACUGCCCAAACCAAACCGUGAACCUUUUUUUCAAGAUUCGACAUGCUUCGGCGAGCCGCCCGCUGGGGGGGCCUUGGGGCCGCGGAGACGCGGCCGGCCCGCCGGAGGCAUGCAAACCAAAACACGCUGAACAACUUUCUGAGAGUUUUUACUUUCCCUCUGGGAAAAAAAUUAGUCA